GCUAAAAACCUAGCCCAAUAAACAUUUUAGGUAUGCCCCCAUUUUUAUUAAACACAAUAAAACAUUUUAACAAUUUAGUAAAGGCGAUAAAAAAAUUUUCUGGAGCAAUACAAACAGUACCGUAAGGGAAAGGUGAAAUAAAAAUGAAAUAAACACUUAAGCACAAAAAAGUAGAGACUUUCCCUCGUACCUUUUGCAUCAUGGUUUGACUAGUCCUUACCAAGCAAAACGAAUUUUAGUUUGACCUCCCGAAACUAAGCGAGCUACUCCAAGGCAGCUUUCCGAGCCAACCCGUCUCUGUUGCAAAAGAGUGGGAAGACCUUUGAGUAGGGGUGAUAGACCAAACGAGCUUAGUAAUAGCUGGUUCCCCGAGAAAAGAAUUUUAGUUCCUCCUAGAGCCACAAAAUGAAAAUCAAACAGAUACCUAUCGCUUUAGAGCUAUUCAAAUAAGGUACAGCCUAUUUGAAACAGGACACAACCUAAACUAAUGGGUUAUUUUUAUUACAUAAUAAAGUAGGCCUAAAAGCAGCCAUCUUUAAAAUAGCGUCAAAGCUUAAUUACCUAAACUUUUUCAAUUACACAAAUCACUUAAAACCCUUUCUCAAUAUCGAGGAAUCCUAUACAACUUAUAGAAUCUUUUAUGUUAAAACUAGUAACAAGAAGCAAACCCUUCUCUCAAAUGCAAGCAUAAGCCAGAAAGGAUAAACCACUGUCAAUUAACACUAAUGAACCUCAAUUAACAACAUCUCAAGAAAAACUUAAUUAAAUUCAUGUUAACCUAACACAAGCGCAUUUCUAGAAAGAUUAAAAAAAAAAGAAGGAACUCGGCAAACACAAACCCCGCCUGUUUACCAAAAACAUCGCCUCUUGACACUAAAUAAGAGGUCCAGCCUGCCCAGUGACUUAGUUCAACGGCCGCGGUAUCCUAACCGUGCGAAGGUAGCGUAAUCACUUGUUCUUUAAAUGAGGACUGGUAUGAAAGGCACCACGAGGGUUACACUGUCUCCUUUUUUAAAUCAGUGAAACUAAUCUUCCCGUGAAGAAGCGGGAAUACUUCUAUAAGACGAGAAGACCCUAUGGAGCUUUAAAUUAAUUAACACUUGCUGCAAUUAUUAAAUUUUUCAGAAACACUACACAUAGCAUAGCAUUAUACUUAGUAAUUUUCGAUUGGGGUGAUCACGGAGUAAAAAAUAACCUCCACGCUGAAAGAAUAUAUUUCUGAGCAAUAAGACACAACUUUAAGCACUAAAAAACUAACACACAUUGAUCCAAUACUUUGAUCAACGAACCAAGUUACCCUAGGGAUAACAGCGCAAUCCACUUUAAGAGCCCCUAUCGACAAGUGGGUUUACGACCUCGAUGUUGGAUCAGGGUAUCCUAGUGGUGCAGCCGCUACUGAUGGUUCGUUUGUUCAACGAUUAAAACCCU
rnacentral:rRNA from 1 species